rnacentral:rRNA from 1 species
ACAGCCCCGUACACAAAAGCUCACAUGCUGUGAGCUCGAUGAGUAGGGCGGGACACGUGGUAUCCUGUCUGAAUAUGGGGGGACCAUCCUCCAAGGCUAAAUACUCCUGACUGACCGAUAGUGAACCAGUACCGUGAGGGAAAGGCGAAAAGAACCCCGGCGAGGGGAGUGAAAAAGAACCUGAAACCGUGUACGUACAAGCAGUGGGAGCACAGGUUUACCUGUGUGACUGCGUACCUUUUGUAUAAUGGGUCAGCGACUUAUAUUCUGUAGCAAGGUUAACCGUAUAGGGGAGCCGUAGGGAAA